rnacentral:lncRNA from 1 species
GUAAGUGACCAGCGCAGUGUGAAUGUGUUAACAAUUUGAUAGUUGCUGCUGCCUCUCUUCGAAUACUUCCUGCUUUCCUCAAAGCCCAUGCAACCACCUUGACAACAAGUGUCCUCCAAAAACUUCCGGCUGAUAUACAAGUAUAAAUAAAACGCGCAGAGAAAGUAUAUACCGUGAUAAGUGCAACAGCAACAAUAAAAAGUCAUAGAAAAAUUCAACAAAAAUUAUUUUUCACAAAAAGAAACGCAGAAAAACUUAGUAAAGCAAUGUCAAAUUGGCAAGCGAUUGCAUCGAGCAGAGAGUAGUAAUUGCAUUUUGUGUGGCGCGCAGCAGGAAUUGAACAAUUGCCAGCCACAACAGCAGCAGCAUCAACAACAGCGCCGCCAAUUGAGUGCAAAUUGCGUGCCAACAACACGCUGCACACGACAACCAGCCAUCAUUUGCAGUUUUAACGGCAUAAUUUGAAAAACAUACUGCUGGUGAGGAGCAUAAGCAACAGACUGAUUUAAAAGGCGCUUCCUUGCGCUUUCACCAACCCAAAGAGAAGAGCUUUACUGCACACAAAUACACACACAUUCCAGUCGCUGAUUAUUUUCUUAAGUAGCUCAUACUAAAUAUAAAUAUGGUGCAUGCACCGGCACGUAAAAAUAAUAAAAACUCAAAUGGCAAUUGUGAUUUGGUGGAGGAUGUACUGACACCGGUGCCACCAGAUGGCGGCUGGGGUUGGAUGGUCGUCUUCGGAUCGUUUAUGAUACACA